rnacentral:rRNA from 1 species
AGGGAAUAUUGGGCAAUGGAGGCAACUCUGACCCAGCCAUGCCGCGUGCAGGAUGAAGGCGCUCAGCGUUGUAAACUGCUUUUAACUGGGAAGAACGGCAAGGGUGCGCCUUUGUGUGACGGUACCAGUGGAAUAAGCACCGGCUAACUCCGUGCCAGCAGCCGCGGUAAUACGGAGGGUGCAAGCGUUGUCCGGAUUUAUUGGGUUUAAAGGGUGCGUAGGUGGUUUGGUAAGUCUGGUUUGAAAGCUGGUCGCUCAACGAUCAGAUGUGGCUGGAAACUACCGGACUUGAAUGGCGUAGCGGUAGCCGGAAUGGGUCAUGUAGCGGUGAAAUGCAUAGAUAUGACCCGGAACUCCGAUUGCGAAGGCAGGCUACUGGGCGCCGAUUGACACUGAGGCACGAGAGCAUGGGUAGCAAAC